rnacentral:rRNA from 1 species
GACGAACGCUGGCGGCGUGCUUAACACAUGCAAGUCGAGCGGAAAGUCCCUGCUUUUGUGGGGUGCUCGAGUGGCGAACGGGUGAGUAACACGUGAGUAACCUGCCCUUGACUUUGGGAUAACUUCAGGAAACUGGGGCUAAUACCGGAUAGGUGCUCCUGCUGCAUGGUGGGGGUUGGAAAGUUUCGGAGGUUGAGGAUGGACUCGCGGCUUAUCAGCUUGUUGGUGGGGUAGUGGCUUACCAAGGCUUUGUCGGGUAGCCGGCCUGAGAGGGUGACCGGCCACAUUGGGACUGGGAUACGGCCCGGAGUAGUACGGGAGGCAGCAGUGGGGAAUAUUGCACGAUGGGCGGAAGCCUGAUGCAGCAACGCCGCGUGCGGGAUGACGGCCUUCGGGUUGUAAACCGCUUUCGCCUGUGACGAAGAGUGAGUGACGGUAAUGGGUAAAGAAGCACCGGCUAACUACGUG